UACGUAGGUGGCAAGCGUUAUCCGGAAUUAUUGGGCGUAAAGCGCGCGCAGGCGGUUUCUUAAGUCUGAUGUGAAAGCCCACGGCUCAACCGUGGAGGGUCAUUGGAAACUGGGGAACUUGAGUGCAGGAAGAGAAAAGCGGAAUUCCACGUGUAGCGGUGAAAUGCGUAGAGAUGUGGAGGAACACCAGUGGCGAAGGCGGCUUUUUGGUCUGUAACUGACGCUGAGGCGCGAAAGCGUGGGGAGCAAACAGG
rnacentral:rRNA from 1 species